GGGGUCAGGGGUCGGUUCUGUCUGGGAUAACAGGGAGCAUCACUGGUGGAGGAAAGGUCAGGGGUCAACAGUAACUAACAGCAGAAGGUCAGAGGUCGGUGACUGAUCUUAUUUGAAUAAAUCAGAGCGCUGUCAUCGACCAGCGGGGGGCGCAUCAAAGCUCCCACCCUGAUGGUGGUCCUUGACUAGACCCUUUUUGAGCCGAUCCCAGAUCAGCGGAACAUGAAUAACUCUUCGUAGGUGUGCUGAUUGGACACGCUUCUAGUUAGAGUUGCUGUCUCCAUGGCAACAGAGAGGUAACACCGUUCCAACAGCCAAUCAGAGCAGGAGCUUCCCUAAAUCUGUCAGAUCCUGCUGCUGUGGCGGCCAGCAGGGGGCGAUGCUGGCGGGAAACCAGCUGGGACACAGAGAGACACUUCCUGACACCUGAUGAGUCUGACCGGGCCACGGGGAGGACGGUGUUAGCAGGUCCGUGUCGCUCCCAGAACCAUCAUAGAAGUUCUGGAUGACCCGGUCUAACAGUACAUGGACUGAGUUCAGCUGGAUGUCUUAUUUUCACACCUGGACAUAGAUGGUGGUUCUGGAUGGAUUCUCUGUGGGUUCUGGGUGAGUUCUGGAUGGUUUUGGAUGGGUUCUGAAUAGUUCUGGGUGAGUUCUGGGUGGUCCUGGAUGGUUCUGGGUGGGUUCUGGGUGGUUUUGGAUGAUUCUGGAUUUUUCUGGAUGGUUCUCGGUGGGUUUUGGGGGGGUUCUGGAUGGUUGUGGGUAGGUUCUGGGUGGUUUUGGAUGGGUUCUGAAUAUUUCUGGGUGGGUUCUGGAUGGUUUUGGAAAGGUUCUGGAUGGUACUGGGUGGGUUCCUUAAUAGUUCUGGGUGGUUUUGGAUAAUUCUGGACUUUUCUGGAUGGUUCUCAAUGGGUUCUGGAUGGUUUUGGAUGGGUACUGGAUGGUUCUGGGUGGGUUCUGGAUUUUUCUGGGUGGUUUCGGAUGGUUCUGGAUGGGUACUGGAUGGUUCUCAAUGGGUUCUGGGUGGUUUUGAAUGGUUCUGGAUGGUUCUCGAUGGGUUCUGGGUGGGUUCCGGUUGGUUUUGGAUGGGUUCUGGAUGGUUUUGGGUGGGUUCUGGAUGGUUCAGGGUGGUUUUGGAUGAUUCUGGAUUUUUCUGGAUGUUCUCUAUGGGUUCUGGAUGGUUCUGGGCGGGUUCUGGCUGGUUUUGGGUGUGCUUCUGGGUGGGCUCUGGGUGGUUUUGGAUGGGUUCUGGAUGGUUCUCUGCAGGCUCUGGAUGGUUCAGGGUGGGUUCUGGAAGGUUCUGGGUGGUUUUGGAUGGGUUCUGGGUAGCUUCUGGAUGGGUUCUUUAUGGUUAUGGGUUGUUUCGGAUGAUUCUGCAUAGGUUCUGGAUGGUUCUGGGUGGUUCUGGGUGGUUUUGGAUGGAUUCUGGAUAGUUCUGGGUGGGUUCUGGAUGGUUUUGGAUGGGUUCUGGGUGGUUUUGAAUGGUGUUGGGUGGUUCUGGAUGGGUUCUGAAUAGUUCUGUGUGGUUUCUGGAUGGUUCUGGGUGGGUUCUGGAUGGUUCUCAAUGGGUUCUGGCUGGUUUUGGGUGGGUUCUGGAUGGUUCUCGGCAGGUUUUGGAUGAUUCUGAAUUUUUCUUAAUGGUUCUGGAUGGUUCUGUUCGAUCCUCUCUGUUCUGCGGUUUUUCUUUAAUCGAUUUAAUUAGAGGGAAUGAAAUCCUGGCGGUUUAUUUAUGCCAGGUGUUUGUUUC